GCUGCUUGUGGGGUGGUAGAGCUGCUUGUGGGGUUGUAUGACUGCUUGUGGGGUUGUAGGGUUGCUGAUGGGUUCAUUGGCCCAGUUAUGGGUUUGUAGGGCCAUGGAUUUGUAGGGCUGCUCAUGGGUCUGUAGGGCCAUGGGUUUAUAGGGCUGGUUAUGGGUCUGUGGGGCUGCUCAUGGAUUUCUGAGGUUGGUUAUGGAUUUAUGGGGUUGGUCAUAGUUUUGUAGGACUGCUCAUGGGUUUGUAGGGUUGAUUAUGGCUCUGUGAGGCUACUCAUGUGCUUGUAGGGCAAUGGGUUUGUAGGGCUGGUUAUGGGUUUGUAGGGUUGGCUAUGGGUCUGUGGGGCUGCUCAUGGGUUUCUAAGGUUGGUUAUGGAUUUAUAGGGUUGCUUAUAGGUUUGUAGGGCUGCUCAUGUGUUUGUAGGGUUGGUUAUGGGUCUGCAGGGCUGGUCAUGGUUUUGUAGGACUGCUCAUGGGUUUGUAGGGUUGGUUAUGAGUUUGUAGGGCUGCUCAUGUGUUUGUAGGGUUGGUUAUGGGUCUGAGAGGCUGCUCAUGGACUUGUAGGGCCAUGUGUUUGUAGGGCUGGUUAUGGGUUUGUAGGGUUGGUUACUGGUCUGUGGGGCUGCUCAUGGGCUUGUAGAGCCAUGGGUUUGUAGGGCCAUCAGUCUGUGGGGUUGGUUGUGGACUUGUAGGCUGGUUGUGAGUUUGUAGGGCUGCUUAUGGGUGAGUAGGGUUGGUAAUGGAUUUGUACAGUUAUGGGUAUGGGUUUGUAGGGCUGGUCAUGGGUUUGUAGGGUUGGUUAUGGGUUCGCAGGGCUGCUCUUGGGUUUGUAGGGAUGAUUAUGGGUCUAUAGGGUUGGUUAUGAGUCUGUGGGGCUGCUCAUGGGUCAUGGGCUUAUAGGGCUGCUCAUGGAUCUGUGGGGCUGGUUACAGGUCUGUGAGCUGGUUAUGGGUUUGUAGGUUGGUUAUGGGUCUGUGGGGCUGCUCAUAAGUUUACAGAGCCAUGUAGGGCCAUGGGUUUGUAGGGCUGUUCAUGGUCUUACUGAUCCAGUCCUGGGUUUAUAGGGUUGAUCAUGGGUUUAUCCUCCUGGUUAUGGGUUUAUAGGUCUGGUUAUGGAUCUAUUGGUCUGGUUAUGGGUUUAUUGGACACUCAUGGAUUCAUCAGUUGGAUCACGGGUUUAUUGGUUCAGUUAUGGGUUUUAUGUUCUGAUCACGCGUUCAUUGGUCUGGUUAUAGGUUUAUUGGUCCAGUCGCGGGUUUAUCAGGCCAGCUGGGGAUGUGUCCAUCUGGUUAUGGGUUUCGCAGUCUGACGAUGGGUUUAUGGGUUCAGACACGAAUGUGUCGGUCCGGCCGUGGGUUUGUGGGUCUGGUUAUGGAUCUGUUGGUCCUGGAAUGGGUUUAUUGCUCCGCUCAUGGAUUUAUAGGUCUGCUUAUGGAUUUGUUGGUUCAGUCUUGGGUUUAUUGGUCCGGAUCGGAUUUAUCCAUCUGCUCCUGGAUUUAUCGAGCCAGUUAUGGGUUCAUCGGUCUGUUUAUGGAUUGAUCAGUCAGCUCGUGGACCUGUCAUGGCUUUGUGGGUCUGGUCGUGGGUUUGUUGGUCCAGUUAUGGAUUUAUCCGGCUGCUUAUGGAUUUCUUGGUCUGCUUAUGGGUCGAUCGGUCCAGUUAUGGAUUCGUAGACCUGGUCAUGGGUUUCUUGAUCCCGUUAUGGGUUUAUUGGUCCAGUCACGGAUCACAGGUCCAGUUAUGGACAUACAGGUCUGGUCAUGGGUUUAUUGGUUUGGUUCUGGAUUUAUCAGUCCAGUCGUGAGUUUAUCAGUUUGGUAAUGAAGUUAUCGGUCGGGUUAUGGAUUUACCCAUCUGCUCAUGGAUUUAUCGGUGCCAUUAUAGAUUUAUAGGUCCAGUCACGGGUUUAUAGGUCUGGUUAUGGAUUUAUCACUCCGGUUAUGGAUUUAUGGCUCUGAAGGUGGGGAGUCGGAUGACACACAGAACAUUAAGGUAUUUUUGAGGUUUCUUUCGCUUCAGCGUUGGGUUUUGGAAGGGAAGAGCCCAUCGAGCGUUCUGCUGCCACAACUUAUUAAAAAACAAAACCGAAAACCAAACACAACAACUCGAUAUUUUCAUCAUGGAAAAAUAAUAAUCGUAAUAAACGGCACUUCGUAUUUGCAGGGUCUUCUGGUUUGUCCCGGUUGGUGUUAACCCUUGGGUGGCUGAGGCAGGGAACCGAUCCAACCCCGUCCCAUUGGGGUGGAUGUGGGCUGAGAGGGAGGCGAUGCCAUAAAUCCCAGUGCUGCACGGAUUGCAGAGCCUGGCUGAGCUCUGCUGGGAGCCCCGGGCUGCUCCAGCCUCAGCAGCACUUCAAUCAGCCCCAAAUUUGGGCAGAUAGCUGGAAAACGAUUCCGGAUCCUGGGAAAUAAUUGUCUCGAG